UACAAGAGGUUUUAAAUAUAACAGGUUAUUAUUAAAACAAAACAAAAUUAAGUUUAAAAAUCAAGAUUUAAUAUUAAAUGUCAUUAUUUAAUAUGUUUAUGAAUUGUUUAAAUGUUUAUGUAAAUGCUGCGUGACUUUAAAGUGUCCAUUACCGAGCCCCAUUCAAGCACUGCAGCAGAGAGCGUUGUCAUGGAAACAGAGCAACGACACGACACCUGCCCGUCAACAGCACUUCUCUCAUGCGGCAGUUUUCACUAAUUUCAGAAGUGACGAAAUUACCCCUACGACAGAAGAAAAGAGCCAAGAUGGGGAGCUAAUCACAGAGCUGGAGGAAACACAGAUUUUGGAUCGUCCUCCACUCACUCUACCACUUUGUUUUUCCUUGCCAGAUUUCAUUCAAGGUAAGUAAUAUUAUAGUGUCACUUAAAAGUAUUCCCAAUGAUUAAUUUUAUUAAUGCUAAUAUUAAUAUCAACUGCAUCAAACAAAUUAGCCUAUUAGAAUGAUUUCUGAAGGGUCAUCUGACACUGGAGUAAUGAUGCUAACAAAUCAGCUUUGACCUCACA